AUGACUCACUUGCAGUUUAUAUCAAGCUGUGCAGGCCUUAGUAGCAGAUAGAAGCAGAGAGGAGCUUGAACUAAACAGCAAGAAAAUGGCAGGCACUAUGUGGUAGCUAACAGCACUUGUGCAUGGGCACAUGUCAACUACCCUCUGAAGCUGCUGGAAAUAAUCAAGAGGAACAUUACAGGGGCAUGCAGUCUUGCAUAAUAGGUGGGAGCAAGAGCCAGAAAAAUACAUAUUAGUCCUGUUUAUAAUAACCCAUUUUAAGUUCUGGAUUGGUGAGGUGACACCUGUUACCAUCAUUUGACUUGGAACCAAUCAAAUUCCUCUUCUCUGGACCAAGUAUAUUUCUGCUCUAUAAUAAGAUUCUGCAAGCAGACAGCUUUCUCUCAGCACAUUAAACAUAGCUACUGGGGGAAAAAAAAGAAGCAGCUAAAAAUGUGUUUACUACUAGGCUAAUACCAUCUGCCCUUAGAUUUCAGAUUGGCUUUGUGAGUUUUCUGAUGGGAAAUAAGAAUUCAGCAUUCUUUUGAUAUGCUGUUACUGAACCAUUCAGGGAGAUUCUAGCCAGACACGCCCACUUGAAACAUUCUGUUCCUUCGUGAAUUUGAUCAAGGAUAUUUUCACUGAAUCGCUUUUGAGAAUCUGUCAGUCAGAGUAACAACUGUAGUUUCAGCAAGAAUAAUAAGGAUCAGACAGAAUUGCUUGUUGUUCUCUGUGAACGAGUUCAUUUGGCUUUAGCCUUUGGCUAUUAAAGCAGAAAGAACAUAGUCAUGAAGAAUCAUGAAAAUCUCUCUCUGCUCUCUGCGAAGAUAAUGGAAAACCGAAGUGCCCAGCUGCAGUAAUGUGGAAGAAGAUUAGCCAGAUGCAAGUUACAGGCUAGGUUUCCUUUCGGAUGAGGGAUGUACUAUAUCUCAGGGCAAUUGACUACUUCUUCUUCUGGGGAGUAACCUAACCUUUUACACUUUUACACAUUCAGCAGGCACUUAACAUGUCAACCAUUUCCAAUGAGUACCAACGCGAGCACAAGACAUCCCUGCCACUUUCUUCAUGGACAAUCGCAUCUGCUUGCCUUGGCUAUCAUCCACGCCUACAAGAUAUACAAGAUAUAUUUCCUCAGCAGCCAUCACAGCUUUUGACCAUUGGAGAUGAAGUUGAAGUCCCGUUGAAGCACCAUUCUCCGUUCUGUGCUCCUAAUCUCUCCAGAGGAAGCAGUUGCUGUGAGUCUGGCGUGAAAUCCAAGUUCUAUAAUUAACCCUUUCAGAUUUGGCAUUCAGACUACGCCAGCCUCAUAGGUAGGUUUCCCACUUUCUUUCUUCUCUAAAAAUAGACAUUAAAUAGAUACGGUUUUUUUUAAGAUUUGCAACAACUGGUCCAUUAAACUAUAAGGGCCUGGUGACCUUCUUGGAGUGUCAGAGGAAAUUUUUGGCUACUGAUUUCAUGAUUUUUCAUGGUCAUAGGUCCUAUUUAAUAGGUUUUCUAUUUCUUCUUAACUCAGUUCUGGUAAUUUAUUAUAUUACUAGAAAAUUUCCCUUUAAUCUUUUGUAAUUCUAUCAGUAUCAUUUUUCAUUAUAUUCUCCUAGAUUUUUCCAUUUCUCUUAUCUAUUGUUAUGCUCUUCCCCUUUUUAGAACUUUUUAACCACAUGAUAAUAGAAGAAAUAAUAUAACAAGCUCCAAAUUUUAGCUAUUAUGAAUAUUUUGACAGUCUUGUUACAUUUAUCCUUAUCCCUCUCACUUUUCUUUUAUUUCCUUUCCUUCUUACUUUCUUUCCUUCUUUCCUACUUUUUCUAGAAUACUUUAAUGGAAAUCCCAGAAAUCAUGAUCAUUUCAUAUGCAUCUUUAAUUGAUAACUUGAGUUUCUUUUUUUUUUCACAGCCACCAUAUCAUUACUAUACCUAGUAAAAUUAACAAGAAUUCUUGAUUUAUUUCUUGUUUCUUGUUGAAUUAGUGUCCCCUUUUCUAGGUCUUUUUGUUCCUAACAUUAUUUACUUUUGCUUUCUUUUUUUUUCCCUUCUUAGCAUGUUUUGCUGUUUUAUUAAUCUGUUUUCUAUUUAAUUAAGGUCUCCUUUAACAUUUACUACUCACUUCUGUCUGCUUUCUUUGAGCUUAUUCUUUGUCGUGUUUCUAGCUUCUUUAUUUAAGUGCCUGGGAUAUUUUUUUUCUUUCCUUCUGUCUUCUUUUCAAAUAUAUGCACUUGAGGCUAUAAAUCGCCUAAAUUCUAAUUCAGCCGCUCUCUGUAUGUUGCAAUAUGAUAA
rnacentral:lncRNA from 1 species